rnacentral:rRNA from 1 species
GAUGAACGCUGGCGGCGUGCCUAAUACAUGCAAGUCGAGCGAACGGACGAGAAGCUUGCUUCUCUGAUGUUAGCGGCGGACGGGUAAGUAACACGUGGAUAACCUACCUAUAAGACUGGGAUAACUUCGGGAAACCGGAGCUAAUACCGGAUAAUAUUUUGAACCGCAUGGUUCAAAAGUGAAAGACGGCCUUGCUGUCACUUAUAGAUGGAUCCGCGCUGCAUUAGCUAGUUGGUAAGGUAACGGCUUACCAAGGCAACGAUGCAUAGCCGACCUGAGAGGGUGAUCGGCCACACUGGAACUGAGACACGGUCCAGACUCCUACGGGAGGCAGCAGUAGGGAAUCUUCCGCAAUGGGCGAAAGCCUGACGGAGCAACGCCGCGUGAGUGAUGAAGGUCUUCGGAUCGUAAAACUCUGUUAUUAGGGAAGAACAUAUGUGUAAGUAACUGUGCACAUCUUGACGGUACCUAAUCAGAAAGCCACGGCUAACUACGUG